GGAAGAAAGAGGGAGGGAGAAAGACCCUAGUGUCUGUCCUCAGCGGCUGCGGCCAGGGCUGGAGAGGUGUUCAUGGCCCAGGAAGGACAGAAAAGAAACCACUGCCUGAGGGUCUGGCUCAGCUCUGCAAUCCCUCCUCCCCAGGAAGCCUCAUUCAAUAUCUUCCUGGGGAUUUUUGGACCCUAGGCUCCGUGACAGGCCCGAACCUGCCAUGGUCCCCUUUGCCCCUGCUGAAGCCCGCAGCACCCAGCACUACGAUUGCAUGUCUAAUCACAGGAAAUCCACUUUGGGAGGCUGAGACAGGAGGAUCCCUCAAGGCCAAGAGUUCAAGACCAGCCUGGGCAACAUAGUGAAACCCCGUCUCUACAUAAAUAAAAA
rnacentral:lncRNA from 1 species